GAAGGUAUAGCUCAGUGGUAGAGUGCAUGCUUAGCAUGCAGGAGGUCCUGGGUUCAAUCCCCAGUACCUCCA
rnacentral:tRNA from 1 species